CACACACACACACACACACAGCUUUGUUUUUGUGUUUUUAUUCUGUACAAACUGUAUUUUCUGUUGCUCUACCUCAACUCUAUCUCUAAACGCAGCCUUCACAGGAACAACUCUGCAUGAUUUAAAAGCUUUUGGAGAAAUAAAGACUGUCAGGAAUGUCUGAUAUAUAUCAACAUUCUUUACAUCUCAGAAUUCUGACUUUACAUGUUGAAAUUCUGACUUUAUAUAACGCAGUUGUGACUUUAUUUCUCAGAAUUGUGUAAUAUAAAGUCAUAAUUGAAAGUUAUAAAGUAUUUUCCUGUUAUGGAGACUGAUCUAACAUGGAGUUUAAAAGAUGCACACACUGACAAAUUGCAUUAGCACAUAUAAUAGAGAAACAUAUAGAAAUCUUACCUUUAGGUAUUUGCAGGAAUCACAACUAUACACGACUCUUUAUUGUUUAACACGCUUUUAAAAAAGGAAAUAUACAGGCUAGUUAGGCUAUCUAUGUAUUUUUAUGAAUUUGCACCAUUUAGGAAUUAUAAAGCAUUAAAUGGAGCACCUGAUUCCUCCAAAAGUCUAAAAUUAAGAUGUCUAUAUUAUUUAGCAGUUAAAUGUGUAACAAUGAUGUGAUUUACAUUUGGCUGAUGUAAAUUCUACUGAAUGCAGCAGCUCUUUAUUGAAUGUUGCAGCGGUGCCCUCAUGUGGUUUACUUGAGAACUGCAGACAUAUGUGUCAUACAUGGGCUGCUUUUUGCUCUCUCAUCUUUCACUUACUGUACAAUAAUCUAAUGGUUGAAGGGGCGUGGCUAAAAACAUAUCGUCUGGCUUUCCAGAGUGGGAAGAUUUUAAUUGACAAUUAACAAAACUGACAGCAGAUUAAUUUCCCUUAAUCAUUGUUUUCUUUAAGACAUGAAUGUGUGAACAUUUAAAUUUCAUGCAGAUUUUAAAUUAAACUGCUGGUGGAAAAAGACUCUCAUAAUAAAAACAAAACGUUGAAUAGAAAUCAAAUGUUGUUUAUUACACUUGUACAAGAACACUUGACAAUAUAAAUAUGACAAACCAAAUAUGUGAACGCCAUCUCUAACACUGAUGACACAACUGAACACUGUUUGACUGGCGCUGAGGGAGAAUCUCAUCAUCUCUGACCCGCAUCAGGUCAUAUCAACAGAAAAUCAAUAUGAAAACAGCACAAGGGUACUUUAAUAACAUUAACAUGAAGCAUUUAAAACAGAGGAUGAUUAAAUAUUUAAACACAGACCACAGUCAGAUAUUUACAGCAGCGUCUGGAUGCUCUGAACAGAGAACGGAGAUGUGUAUUAUUAUCCUCCAGUAUAUGAGCUGUAAAGAAACUGAAAUAACCCUGUCUGGACCACAGCUAUCUCACAGAGAACCAGAACAUGACAGACGCAAAAUAAAAGACUGGAUUAAAACAGCUGGUAGACUGGAACAUGCAGGACAGAGAGAACAGCGCGAGACAAACACUACAAUAAAUGACUCUACAGCAACAUGAUUCAGUUCAUGUGAGAAAGAUUCAGUUCAUUCGUUAGCAGCCAGAAACACACAGUAAACCAGCAGAAGAGAAAGAAGAACAACAGAAUCAUUAAUGAGUGAAUCUGAACUGCCUUUCCUUUGGGUUCUGCAGAAAACUGAACUCCAGCUCCUGAGAUGAGCUUGAAUGAAUCAGGGAGGAACAGUCAGCCAGUGAUUCAGUGGAUCAUCCAGGUACAUUAAUGGAUCGUCCUGGUGAAUCAGUGAAUUGUCCAGGGGAAUCAGAGUAUGUUCCAGGUGAAUCAGUGAAUUGUCCAGGGGAAUCAGAGUAUGUUCCAGAUGAAUCAUAUAAUCAACCUGAUAAAUCAAUGAAUUAUCCAGAUGAAUCAGUGAAUCAUCCAGUUGAUCACUGAAUCACCCAAGUGAAUCAGAGAUUCAGUGAAUUGUUCAGGUGAAUCAUUGUAUCACAGAAUGGCCCAGAUGAAUCAUCCAGAUGAACCAUUGAAUUGUCCAGGUGAAUCAGUGAAUUGUCCGAGGGAAUCAUUAAUUAAGUGCAUUAUCCAGGUGAAUCAGUGGAUGGU